rnacentral:ribozyme from 1 species
GGAACGCAGCAACACCAAACAGCUGGAGAGAAAACAAAAGCAAAGUGACAAUAGAAAAGAACCUUGGCAUGGCAGCAGUAAUUUUGCAAUGUGCUUCCCACUUUUUCCUUUUUUCUUUUCAUUUUUUUUU